ACUCCUCCCCCUCCCGCCCUCCUCCCUCUUCCUAGCUCCAGCUCGGCCACCAGCUCCGGCCUCGGCGCCCCCUCCCAGAGCCCCCCUCCCCGGAGCGGAGCCCACCAGAGGGCACCUCUCCCGUCCCCCAGCCCAGCCGCCCGGCCAGAACAGCAGCCCCGGGGGGCAACCCCCUCCAGCCUGCCUCCCUCCAGCCCAGCCCUGCCCGAUCCCCCCCAACCAUGAAUCUCUUCCGAUUCCUGGGAGACCUCUCCCACCUCCUAGCCAUCAUCUUGCUACUGCUCAAAAUCUGGAAGUCCCGCUCGUGUGCCGGGAUUUCAGGGAAGAGCCAGGUCCUGUUUGCUGUGGUAUUCACUGCCCGCUACCUGGACCUCUUCACCAACUACAUCUCACUCUACAACACGUGCAUGAAGGUGGUCUAUAUCGCCUGCUCUUUCACCACAGUCUGGAUGAUUUACAGCAAGUUCAAAGCCACUUACGAUGGGAACCACGACACGUUCCGAGUGGAGUUCCUUGUUGUUCCUACAGCCAUCCUGGCGUUCUUGGUCAACCAUGACUUUACCCCUCUAGAGAUCCUCUGGACUUUCUCCAUCUACCUGGAGUCUGUGGCCAUCCUGCCGCAGCUAUUCAUGGUGAGCAAGACAGGCGAGGCAGAGACCAUCACCAGCCACUACUUGUUUGCGCUGGGUGUCUACCGCACCCUUUAUCUCUUCAACUGGAUCUGGCGCUACCACUUCGAGGGCUUCUUCGACCUCAUCGCCAUCGUGGCAGGCCUGGUCCAGACGGUCCUCUACUGCGAUUUCUUCUACCUCUACAUCACCAAAGUCCUAAAGGGGAAGAAGCUGAGUUUGCCCGCGUAGCCCUGGUCCUCGCAUCCCUCUCCAGGGCAGCAGCGAGAGGCAGAGGAAGGCAACGAAAGACGAAGAGCCUUCCCACCCAGGGGCAACCAAGGCCUGGGAGGAGCAGGAAGAUGAGAAACCGGGCUUCCCGAGACUCUGAGCUUCACCCUGACUCUUCAUGACUCCACAGGGGAAGAGGUUUCAGAGAAAAAAAAACUUCUCGAAGAUUCUUCCUAUCUUGGCACAGAACUUCCCUGACAAUUCUCCCUAACCUCAGGGUCGCAGAGGAAAACCUCCAAGAGCCUGUGAUUUGGAUGUCACCAAGGGACAGCCCCUGCCCCCAUCAUUUUGCAUUGUGUUGAAUCACUUUAUGUUUUCUUUAAAAAAGAAAAAAAAAAAAUGGAAUUGGUCGCCAGCCUUUAAAAACCAGAUUUUCGCAUUAAAAUCGGGAUUUCUGGCUUCUCUUGAAAAAAACCCAUCAAUCUGACAAUGCCGGGCCCUCGUUUCUGGGUGGCAGCAGGUGGCUGGGAGAAGAGCAUCCCCCCCGCCCCCUCCCAGUCCCCAGGACUUGGCCGAGGGGUGGAUACCAUCUAUGAUUGGGCUGAAGCUGUUGUAUUGUGGUUUUGUUUUGUGAAGUUCAAAGGAAAGUCAAAUAUUUUCCACGUUUCCCUCCAGAUGGGCUUCACACCUGGCCUGUUUCCUUCACUUGCGCUACCUGCCUGCCCCUUGUAAGCUUCUGGAGUUUUGUCCCCUGAUUUUGCCAGAUGCCCUAGACCUAGAAAGGUCUGCUGAGGCCUUUCUUAACUGCCUCCAGUUCUCCCAUAGGACAGCUCUGGAAGCUUCAGGAGGCAGGUAGCUGGCAUUUGCCGAGCAUUUCAUAAGCAGCCAGGCAACGCGUGUUACACAGGUAAGCUGGUGGGACCCUCAGGGCACCCUCGCUUUGCCAAGAAGGAAACCAGGGCUUAGCGGAGUGAGCAGCAGAGAUGGGGUUGGUACCCCGGCUUCCUGCUCCUGGAUCCUCUGUGUUUAGCCACUGCUGUGGGGUUUUUCAAAUGUUUUUUUCUUUCUUUCUUGUAAGCUAAGCCAAUGGACCUUCUGUUUAGAGAUAUUUGCCCAGAUGCCUCAUAUGAAAAAUGCAGGAGCAGGGCUCCUUGGGUUGAUUUGGGUUCGGGAGGGGGCACGUUUUUGAAUGCAAUCUGCAAACUAUCGAUCUAAAUCCGGUCUCUGUUUGACAGCCAGCCCAGGUUGGGCCCAGAGAGAUUAGUGACAUAUCCCAGGUGGUCCAGCUAGUGAUGGAGUGAGGACCAGAGCUCCAGGUGCUCUGUUUCCCAUACCGGCACCCUGCCCACUCCACUGCACAGCUGCCCUUUCCUCCAGGUGCCCAUAGGGACCACAGCCUAUUUAUUUCGGCAUCCUUAGCACUGAGCACUGCCACACAGGAAACCAAAAAAGGGGACCACAGAGCCCACACUUGACUCCCCACAACUCGCAUCCCUUUGCCCAGUUUGUAAAUGCACGCUCUGCAGCCACUGUGGCCCUUGUGUGGGUGUGUUUGGUUUGGCCGACAUAGCAUUAAGCUCUUUUCUUUCUUUUUUUCUUUCUUUCUUC